CUUCGGCCUCCCAAAGUGGUGGGAUUACAGGCAUGAGCCGCCGCGCCCAGCCUCCUCUAUAUGUUCUCGUCUUGCAACAAAACAGGGAGUUCUUCAUGUCUAAUGCAUAUUUUCAUCCCUACUCUGCAUCACACACUUAGGUGUUCCAUGGUUAUUCUCCAGGUCCUUCUGAGAAGCCCACAGCUCCUUAGGCCCAGCGCUCACCACUUCUGUCCCAGAGGAGUAAACCCAAAUGCCUUCCAUAAAGGAGGCCAGACCUUUUAUGCAGGGAGGGUGUUUGGGAAGAGGAAUGAGCUGCCAGCAGGCUGCCUGGUGACUGUGGCCUUAUGGGAAUCAGGAUGUUUCCAAGUCAAAGGCUGCAGGAGUUCCUGUCUCUCUGCUCCUCCUCAGCAAGGGAUCUGCACAUGCUCAUUCCGUGGUCAUGGCCUCGGGGGAUCUUUUCCGCUUCAGGUAUUGAGAAAUCUCACAUAUCUCUAUAAAGAUGAUCCUGUCUUUCUGCCCAGCUCCUUAUGGCAAUUCUCGAGAGAGGGAGAGGGUCAGGGAAUUGAGAAUGGGGUGGGGUUGCCACACUCUUGCCUUCAUUCUGUUGUGUAUAAUACGGAGUGUUAGGGUCAUGUGACGCUAGACAUUGCUGAGCUGGUCCAAUCUCUCCAUUUAUAAAUAAUGAAGCCAAGGCCUGAAGACCUUUCCUGCAAGGUCACAGAAGAGGCAGAAGAAGGACCAGAACCCAGCUCCCCUGACUCCCCAUCCAGUGCUCUUCUCAUAGAUUACAUUGCUUCAGCAUCCACCCGGCUAUUGCUCCAUUCAGGGGUUACAGGAGUCACUGACUGUUUUGGCUGCUUCUUGGUUGGAGGAUGUUGUACCUCACCGAUGAGGGCCAGAAGCAAAGGUACCAGUUCUUAGAGGAAGCAUAGGAAUGUGUCCCUUCCUGCUCGGGUCUCUCAACUGAACGCAACCCUUCCUUGAUUGAUUGACAAGCAUAUUAUCUCUUGUAAUCCCUGCCCGGUAAGGGCUGAUGUUCCCAUUUUACAGAUGAGGAUAUUGGAGCUCAGAGAAGUGAAAUGAUUGCUGAAGGUCACGCAGCCCGGCUUCAAGCCUCUCGGGCUCCAAAAGGCAUCUUCUGUUCUCUCUGUCAGGAAGCCUCUUUUGGAUGAUUAACUGAGAUUAAAAAUGAAAAUAUACAUGAAA